UACGUAGGGGCAAGCGUUGUCCGGAAUCAUUGGCGUAAAGCGCGCGUAGGCGGCCCGGUAAGUCCGUUGUGAAAGUCAAAGGCUCAACCUUUGAACGCCGAUGGAUACUGCCGGGCUAGAGUCCGGAAGAGGCGAGUGGAAUUCCUGGUGUAGCGGUGGAAUGCGCAGAUAUCAGGAGGAACACCAAUAGCGAAGGCAGCUCGCUGGGACGGUACUGACGCUGAGGCGCGAAAGCGUGGGGAGCGAACA
rnacentral:rRNA from 1 species